rnacentral:rRNA from 1 species
GAUGAACGCUAGCGGCAGGCUUAAUACAUGCAAGUCGAACGGGAGCGGGUCCAGCAAUGGAUGCCGGCGAGUGGCGCACGGGUGCGUAACACGUAUGCAACCCACCUUUAACCGGGACAUAACCUCGAGGAAUCGUGGCUAAUAUUCCAUAAUGUCUGUGAAUCGCAUGGUGUGAAGAUCAAAAUUCAGAUGGUUUUAGAUGGGCAUGCGCCAAAUUGGCUAGUGGGUGAGGUAAUGGCUGACCAAGGCUACGAUGUUUAGGGGGUCUGAGAGGAUGAUCCCCCACACUGGUACUGAGACACGGACCAGACUCCUACGGGAGGCAGCAGUAAGGAAUAUUGGGCAAUGGGCGCAAGCCUGACCCAGCCAUGCCGCGUGCAGGAUGACAGCCCUACGGGUUGUAAACUGCUUUUAUACGGGAAAAAACCCUCUGACGUGUCAGAGGCUGAUGGUACCGUAAGAAUAAGCAUCGGCUAACUCCGUGCCAGCAGCCGCCGUAACAC